ACAGAGGAGGCAGACGCGGCUGGAGGCCAAGGUCAAGUUGAAAGUCUGUGUCUGGCCGCUCG
rnacentral:sRNA from 1 species